rnacentral:rRNA from 1 species
GAAAGAUGAAAAGAACUUUGAAAAGAGAGUAAAAUAGUACGUGAAAUUGUUGAAAGGGAAACGAUUGAAGUCAGUCGUACCGACGAGAAAUCAACUCUUUGAGUGCGGGCUUGUGGGCAUGCGGGUGUCUCGUUGUUUGCAACGUCUGUGCUUUUUGGGUGUACUUUUUCGUAUGGUAGGCCAACAUCAGUUUCGAUUAUCAUAAAAUGACCGGAGGAAUGUAGCUUCGAUUUCGAUUGAAGUGUUAUA